GACGAACGCUGGCGGCGUGCUUAACACAUGCAAGUCGAACGGAAGGGCCCUGCUUUUGUGGGGUGCUCGAGUGGCGAACGGGUGAGUAACACGUGAGUAACCUGCCCUUGACUUUGGGAUAACUUCAGGAAACUGGGGCUAAUACCGGAUAGGAGCUCCUGCUGCAUGGUGGGGGUUGGAAAGUUUCGGCGGUUGGGGAUGGACUCGCGGCUUAUCAGCUUGUUGGUGGGGUAGUGGCUUACCAAGGCUUUGACGGGUAGCCGGCCUGAGAGGGUGACCGGCCACAUUGGGACUGAGAUACGGCCCAGACUCCAACGGGACGCAGCAGUGGGGAAUAUUGCACAAUGGGCGGAAGCCUGAUGCAGCAACGCCGCGUGCGGGAUGACGGCCUUCGGGUUGUAAACCGCUUUCGCCUGUGACGAAGCGUGAGUGACGGUAAUGGGUAAAGAAGCACCGGCUAACUACGUG
rnacentral:rRNA from 1 species